GUGUGUCAGGGUCGUCGUCAGUCGUCCGCACUCCGUGUCACCAGCGGCAACCCGUUUCGUUAGGUGGCAGACGAUUCGAAGCACCCGGUUCACGUCUGCAGCUCCGAACAGCAGCCCGACAGGCCCCGGAAAGCGAGGGUUAACCAUUUCUUCGCGACUCCACAGCUAUCAACGAGAUCCGCAGCCGAGACCAGCCGCUCCGGUUGGUAGAAGAGUCGAGAAGGCUGUCCAACGGUCGCCAUUGACCAGAGCCGUCCGGGUCGUCCGGGUGACGCAUAUCGGGCACAUCUCCCUAUAGAGGGCGCUCGAACGACCAGGUGUCCGGGGUAAGCCCGUCUUCGUCGAGGAUGACUCCCAGGCCCCAAGGGCCCUGGUCCCCGUGAGUCGUGAGAUGAGAACGAGGACGACGUCGGCCGUCGUCGCCGACCGAGAUUAACGCGUUCGCUCCAGGGCGAAGAUCGGCGCGAGAAAGGCGAGAGAGGAUGCCGGUCAAGGUGGACGUGGUACCGCCACCGCCCGCGAACUCGAAGCAGCCGGGUGUCACCAAGUCUCUCCUUUAUAACGGCUCGAGGUUCCAGGGCUCACAAAAAUCUAAGGGCAACAGCUACGACGUGGAGGUUGUUUUGCAGCACAUUGACGAGGAGAACAGUUACCUCUGCGGGUAUCUGAAGAUCAAGGGUCUCACCGAAGAGUUUCCAACUUUGACAACAUUCUUCGACGGUGAGAUCAUCUCCAAGAAAUAUCCUUUCCUCACUCGCAAGUGGGAAGCCGACGAAGACGUCGAUAAGAAGCAUUGGAGCAAAUUCGAGUCGUUCUGUCGGUACGCCAAGACGUUCAAUUCGGACACAUUUGAUUACGAAGCACUGAAGGGAACGGACUUCGUAUUUAUGAGGUGGAAGGAGCAUUUCCUGGUUCCGGACCACAGAAUCAAAGAUAUCAACGGCGCCUCCUUUGCAGGCUUUUACUAUAUCUGCUUCCAAAAGUCAGCCUCAUCAAUUCAGGGGUAUUACUACCAUCGCAGUUCCGAAUGGUAUCAGUCCCUGAACUUGAGGCACGUCCCGGAGCACAGCAUACAGAUCUACGAGUUCAGGUGAAGCCGGAAAACGAAGACCAAGAAUCGCCGUCGACCUCGACACUUCCGAAGCCCCGACACGCUCCACCACCCCUCGACUUUGCAGCGUUAGCGAACCCGGUCGAGUACCUCGACCCACGUACUUUGAAGAGGACAAGCACGAGAGCGGCGAGUCUCUCGGAAACACCUCGACUAGAUUAGCCUCCCCCGGGCGAAGAUAUGAAGGAAUCGUUGAUGCGACAUCGACGAGGAACGGAGUGCCUCGACGAGUGAUACGCUUGCUUAUUAACGAUAUUAAUUGCCCCGAGACCAUGCACGGUCACGAUAACCCAGGACCCAGGACACCCAUCAUCAGGACGGACGUCACACCUCGCCACCCUGGACCAUCAAUCGACAUCCCUGGAAGAAGGAGGCGUUUAAAACGCACCCUG